rnacentral:lncRNA from 1 species
AGUUGCUGGGGGUCCCUAGGCCGGGCCCCAGGACAUCUAGGACAUGCCGGGGGCUGUUUGCUACGGCUUCAUCCCGGAGCUCCUGCUCGGGGUUGCCGGCUGCCUCUGCUGGCGUCCCUCUUCCCUUCCUUUGCGUAAGCGGCAACUCCUCCAGGAAGCCAGGGGAAGGACGGGAUUUCCUCUCCACGUAGGGUAGUAGAUCGCAUAGCCCAGCCGGAUCGCCCAGCAGGAGUGCAGGGCGCGCGUCGGGGUGUCUCCGGCUUGUGGGUGUGCGGUUCGAAACCUUAGCUGGGGUGGGGGAAGGGAUGUCUUUAACCUUCUGUCUACCGUCCCCCUCUUCCCUCUCUCAGCCUAGAGGCAGGGGAUGCUGCGGAAUCAGACUGGGUGCACCAAGGCGGAGGGCCAUGCCGGGCUUCGCCCUUCCUGGGUGUCCCGGAGUCCGUUCCGGAGAAACCCUGGCAUUGCCAGAACUGGGUCCCCGCACUCACUCCUCCAUAAUUCGCGGCGGAUCAGCGGGAGGAGGGCAGAGGGCGGGGGCGAGGCAGCUUCCUGGCGGGUGUGGCGCAAAGUGUGCGGGGUGUGGCGCAAAGUGCGCGGACCCGGGUCCUGGACCGAAGAUUUAGCCCAGGGUUUCGUGUGUGUUGCUCCCUGUUGCUUUCUACGGGGUCUGCGCUGGCCUCCUCCUCGGGCGACUGGGCCCUGAGGCAACAGCGCCUUCUCGAGCCCCGAGGAUUGACCGCCCCGAGCCUGCUUGGAGCAGGGCCUCUCUCCAGCGCGGUGUGAUGAAAGAAAAAAACCAUUCUUCCAGGAGAGGCUCCUCCAAGCAAACUUCCCCUUACAUCUCUUACCAGAACUGGGUCACAUGCUCCCAUCUAAAACAACCACUGGCCAUUAGAAAUGGUGUUACCAUGCCUGUCUUGGACCAAUCACAUUUGAUCCUCUGAGGAUAGAGACAUGUUGCCACCUGAACAACUGUGGGGUGCUGUACUCCUGGCAAGCAGGGAGAAUGGCUGUGGCUAGGCAACUGACAGCAUCUACCACAAAUAUGUUACUCAGAAGAAGAAUCGAGGAUGGCCAUAAUUUUUAUUUAAAGAUUUCUAUUUUACAGAGGCAUAUCUGAUUAAGGGACAUUUAAACUUCCCUGUUAAACUUAUCAAGACAAAAAGACAAGGCAUCUUGCCACAUUUCUUAAAUAUUCUCUGCAGUCUCUCUUGACCUUUUCCCAGCUGUGCUGUAAACAUAAAGAUAAUAACAUAUCUGAAUAACAUUUUAUGGUGCACAGAUAAUUUUCACAUACAUUAUCCAUUUGACCCUCACCAUAACUGUGUGGGGUAGGUAAGGUACGAUUGUACUUUUCAUUAAUUUUUUUUUUUUUGAGACACAGUCUCGUUCUGUCACCCAGGCUAGAGUGCAGUGGUGCGAUCUGGGCUCACUGCAACCUCCACCUCCCAGGUUCAAGUGAUUCUCCUGCCUCAGCCUCCAAGUAGCUGGGAUUACAGGCAAGUGCCACCAUGCCUGGCUAGUUUUUGUAAUUUUUUAGUAGAGACAGGGUUUCACCAUGUUGGCCAGGCUGGUCUAGAACUCCUGACCUCAGGUGAUCCACGUGCCUCGGCCUCCCAAAGUGCUGGGGUUACAGGCAUGAGCCACUGCUCCUGGCCACUUUUCAUUAAUUUUUAUUGGACUUAGGAUUAGAAGGAUGAGCAAAUCCUACUACUUAGUGCGUGGAAUACUGGCAUCUAUUGUUUUUGCUUGGCUCCUCUCUUGUUUUAAUAAUUAACUAAUCGAUCCAUUCUCUUUUAUUGCCAUCUCCCACUCACACUUUUUCCUCCACAUAGGCAAUCAUUCUAAAUAUGUCCAAUGUUUAUCUUAUUUGUAUGCGUAUUUAUAAAGUGAAUAUUUUGUUUAGUGUGUAUGCAGUUUCGUUUGCAUAAAUUGUAAUAUUCUGUGAAUCUCAUUCUGUUUUGUACUUUUUUCAUUCUGCUCUGUUUUUAGAAGUGAUCCAUGUUGCUAUGUGUAUCUACUCCAUUGCCUUUAAAUGCUGCAUAAUACUCCACGGUGUUUGUCGAUCAUGUUUUACUCAUCUUUGCCCCCUAGUGGAAACCAUGAUGGCCUCCAACUCUGCACACAAAUAGUUUCAAACAAGAACCGCUGGUGAAAUGUGACUGCUGAUGGACCUGGGUGGGAAUUUCUCUGGGAUGCCGACUAAAAAGCAUGGUGGCUGGGUCAUAAAAUGCACACUUAAUUUGAAUAAGUGCCACCCAGUGGCUCUCCACAAAGCCUGCACUAGUCCAUUCUACUAGAAAUUAUUCACAUUUAACUGGAAACUGGGUCUUGGAGAUGUUAAGUAACUUGCUCAAGCUCACAUAAGGAGUAAAAGUGAAUUAGGACAUCCAGGACCCAAAUCCAGGCCUUGUAACUUCAGGUCAAUUUUAUUUUCCAGGGCACCACCCUCUAAGUCUCUGGAUCAUAAUAUGGAGCACUAAUAAAAAGAUUUCUUGAGGCUUUUGUUAUUUACAUAAUGAAUUUCAGAAAUGGCUUACUGGUGCUACUGGCAAGUUGCAGGCAGAAGAAAGAAUGAAAGCGAAUGGGCAUCUCAUGUUCUAUUCUCUGAUUCAACCUGUUUUGGGUCCCUUUUGACUGCUUUACCACAGUUGCUAUUACAUUAUUUUGGGAAGUAUUUAAAAAAGAAGAGAAAGUGCUGGAUAUCUGAACUCCUUUCCUCCAGUCUGCCAUGGGCCAAAAUGUAGUACCACCAUGCCUGACUAGAAAGUAAAAGAGGAAUCAUAGAAUCAGAUAGUGUUAUAACCAGAAUGGGCCUUACAGACCAUUUAGUCUAGUCCUCCCAUUUUAUAGAUGAGAAAAUGGAGGCCCAGAGAGAGGAAGACAGUUGCCUGAGGUCACACAGCUGGAAGGAGAGCAGGAUGGGCACCCAGGCUUUCUGAAAACCAGUCUCUUUGAUGCAGGUGAACCCCCACAUUGGGGCUCAGCUCAAGAGGGUUCUUAGCUUUGCUCAGGAAGGAAUUCAAGAGUGAGCUGACAGUUAAAGAAAGCAAGUUUUUAGAGCAAUAGUGUACAGCAAAAUGGCUGCUCCACAGACAGAGCAGGGCCAUCCCAUAGGCAGAGUAGCACUUGUGCAUUGCUGGCUAGCUCUAUUUAUAGCUGCUCCUAAUUAUAUGCUAAAUAAGCGGUGGGUUAUUCACAGAUUUUCUAGAAAAGGUGUGGGGAAUUUCCAGAACUGAUGGUUCCUUCCUCUUUAAACCAUGUAAGGUAACUUCUGGGUUUUGCCAUGACAUCAACUGUCAUGGUGCUGGUGGGAAGUGUUUUACAGCAUGCAAAUGUAUUAUAAUUCCUAGUCCUAACUGCUUUUGGCUGGUUCCUUUGCUACAUCCUGUUUUGAUCAGCAGUGUCAUGAAAACAAGUCCUGUUCAUCUCCUACCUCUCCUUGCCCUUUCCACUUUUCUGCACACAGCAACUUUCACCUGCGCACCCAGGAAUCCACACUUUAAGUCUUAACAACCUGAGGUGUUGUUGAGAAAAAACUACAAACAGUGGUGCGCUGGCAAAUCUUUAACAAUCACCUGGGGUGGGGUGGGGUGUGGAUAAACAAGCCUUAUUUGUAGCAUAUGGCCAAUUUCAAGCUGCCAAAGUGCUGUCACUGAACGUGAAGUAGUGGGAGCAGGGCAGCAGAGGGCCACCAAUCAGAGGCAUUUCCACCAAACAGAUGCAAUUGGCAUAAGUAACUGCAAGGGCACGGACAACCGCAAGGUCUGCUAAAAGGAUUAGGAAGUGAUGAGUUUUGAGUGUUUAUUACUUUUGGUUUUAGUGUAACUUAUUUGUAAGCUUACAUAAUUUAAUGUCUAAUAAGGGCAAUGUUUA